rnacentral:lncRNA from 1 species
AGCUCAUUUCCAAAAGGAAAUAACACCUGCCCCAAAUCUCCACCUGCCACGGCCACCUCUCUGAACCCCCAGCUGCCAGGGGCUGACAGUAAGUCACAGAAGCAUAUUGAUUUCUCAAGGGAAAGAUGAGCAAAGUGAAUACAGAACUCCUCCGUGCACAGGAUGAAAAACCUUGUCCAGGAAGGAAAAUGAGAGGCCACGUAUUCCAGAGGGCAGGCCUACGAAAUGGUGGAGCCCUGCCUGGACCUGCAUCAUCACUGAAUGAACAGGAUGACCAACACCCCGAUUUGCCUUGGGACGCUGGAGUUCCGGGUGUCAGGACUGUCAGCAAGAUCCUGACAUGGUGAUGACGAAGAAUGAAACAAUAAGAAGUUGAAUUACAUUGUACAAGACGCGAAUGUCACGGAGAAUACCUGAUUUCACAUUUUCAUCAUCACAAAAGGCUGGUUUCCCCAGCGUCUGAUCUUACGUGUGGUAUAUAUUAACAUUCUGAAUGUCUUGAAUUUAAGAGGUGAAAAAAAAUACUAAUAUUAUCUACUUUCUUUUUUUAAAAUUUUUUUUAAUGUUUAUUGAUUUUUGAGAGAGACAGAGACAGGAUGCGAGGGGGUUAGGGGCAGAGAGAGAGGGAGACGCAGAAUCCGAAGCAGGCUCCAGGCUCCGAGCUGUCAGCACAGAGCCCGACGCGGGGCUCGAACUCAUGAGCUGUGAGAUCGUGACCUGAGCCGAAGUCGGACGCUCAACCGACUGAGCCCCCCAGGCGCCCAAAUAUUAUCUACUUUCUUUAUUCAUGUUCCCUGUGAAGUUUUUUUUCCCCCAGAUUGUUUUUCUUUUUAAGAAGGAUCUUUCGGCUUGAUGACAGCAGUAACGAUGAUGGUGAGAGAGAUGAUAAUGACCAUGAGAACAUUUGAAAACACACCCGUGAACACUCACAGGUCUUUCAAGCCUGGGUUCAAACCUUACUUCUGCCGUUUACCAGCUGCCGACCUUGAGCAAGCGAGCUAAUGUGGUCUGUUUUCUUGUCAUAAAUUAAAAAUAACCCUGGGAAUGCAAGCUGGUGCAGCCACUCUGGAAAACAGCAUGGAGGUUCCUCAAAACACUAAAAAUACAACUACCCUACGACCCAGCAAGUGCACUACUAGGCGUUUAUACAAGGGAUACAGGGGUGCUGUUUC